UAAGGAAAGAAAGAGAGAGGGAAUCUUCUUCUUUUUUUUUUUUACCCUCUUUUUUCUUCCUCUUCAAAAAUGCGAAUAGGUGAGAAGGCGACCAGAUAACACAGGUAACGCCCUAAUGAGUCUACCUGGCGGACACCUACCUGGAUAUUCUAAUUGAUCUGGUUGCGCUGUUGCCGAUGUUACCUCAAGGGCGAUGUUGCCACGUGUUCAAGGUAUGUUUGUUUGUUUGUUUGUUUGUUUGUUUUGUAUUUUUUGUUUUCGUAUUUUUUGUUAUUUUUCUGUUUUUGUUUUUACUUCGUUUUCUUUCAUAUUUUUCUUCACAUUUUUUCUUUGUU